GAAAAAUUAGCGGAUGACCUGUGGCUGGGGGUGAAAGGCCAAUCAAACCGGGAGAUAGCUGGUUCUCCCCGAAAGCUAUUUAGGUAGCGCCUCGUGAACUCAUCUUCGGGGGUAGAGCACUGUUUCGGCUAGGGGGCCAUCCCGGCUUACCAACCCGAUGCAAACUACGAAUACCGAAGAAUGUUAUCACGGGAGACACACGGCGGGUGCUAACGUCCGUCGUGAAGAGGGAAACAACCCAGACCGCCAGCUAAGGUCCCAAAGUCAUGGUUAAGUGGGAAACGAUGUGGGAAGGCACAGACAGCCAGGAUGUUGGCUUAGAAGCAGCCAUCAUUUAAAGAAAGCGUAAUAGCUCACUGGUCGAGUCGGCCUGCGCGGAAGAUGUAACGGGGCUAAACCAUGCACCGAAGCUGCGGCAGCGAC
rnacentral:rRNA from 1 species